CUUAAGUUCACGCGCAUCAUCGGGUGCGUACCUCUAGAAAAACUGCAAAUUUUGUGACGAUAAAACGUCCAGUGUCGACGCCCAGUUGCGUGCAACAUUUGGGAGAUCUCAAAAUGCAGACAAUAAAAUGUGUUGUAGUAGGAGAUGGAGCAGUUGGUAAAACAUGUUUAUUAAUCUCCUAUACUACAAAUAAGUUUCCAUCCGAAUAUGUCCCAACAGUAUUUGACAAUUAUGCAGUCACUGUCAUGAUUGGCGGUGAGCCGUAUACAUUAGGAUUAUUUGAUACAGCUGGUCAGGAGGAUUAUGAUCGUUUGCGUCCAUUAAGUUAUCCACAAACUGAUGUAUUUCUCGUAUGUUUCUCAGUUGUGUCACCGUCAUCAUUUGAAAACGUUAAAGAAAAGUGGGUACCGGAAAUAACGCAUCAUUGUCAAAAAACUCCAUUUUUAUUGGUCGGUACGCAAAUUGAUUUACGAGAUGAUGCAGCUACAAUCGAAAAGCUUGCGAAGAAUAAACAGAAAGCGAUUUCGGGUGAGCAAGGUGAAAAACUUGCUAAGGAAUUAAAAGCUGUAAAAUAUGUCGAGUGUAGUGCUCUUACACAGAAAGGACUUAAAAAUGUUUUUGAUGAGGCAAUAUUAGCGGCUUUAGAGCCCCCAGAACCUGUUAGAAGAAGAAGGUGUACCAUUUUGUAGAAGGUGUUUGAUUUUUUUUAUAAAACUGUUAGCUCUACAGUAACAAAGACUGGCAAAUUGCGCAAUCGGACAGGAAAUGUUUCGGAGUUGUGUAUACAAUUAUAUAUUCUGUCACUCCAGCAAAGCGAAAGUUCAUUACGACUCCGUGUACCGUGAAAAGCUGCAAAGUUCUCAGCUAUUUAAUAUGUAAGGCGUUUUGAAGAAUAAGUUGGUAUUAUGAAUUUUUUAAUAAAUUUCUUUUUAAUAUUAA
rnacentral:misc_RNA from 1 species